rnacentral:rRNA from 1 species
UACGUAGGGGGCGAGCGUUGUCCGGAUUUAUUGGGCGUAAAGAGCUCGUAGGCGGCUGUUCGAGUCGGGUGUGAAAUCCUGAGGCUUAACCUUGGGUCUGCAUCCGAUACUGGGCGGCUUGAGUCUGGUAGGGUGAUCUGGAAUUCCUGGUGUAGCGGUGGAAUGCGCAGAUAUCAGGAGGAACACCGGUGGCGAAGGCGGGAUCCUGGGCCAGUACUGACGCUGAGGAGCGAAAGCGUGGGGAGCAAACAGG